AAGUCGUAACAAGGUUUCCGUAGGUGAACCUGCGGAAGGAUCAUUAACACGUAUCCAACGUUAAACAACCCUGUGAACUUUCAGCGCUCUUGUAGCCCCAGAGGAACAGCAAUCCCGGUAAAUCAAAUGGCGGAAAGAGUUUUGAUUCGGGACCUCUGUCCAAAAGGUAUCAAGUUACAAUCGAGCAGAGCAGUGGCAUGGUUUCCCUAAGCAGUGCAGAAGGAUCCACUGAGUAAGGAUAACGCAUCACGGUUGCCAGAGGUCGAUCACCGGCCGGCAGACCUAAUCAAGCCUCGCGGAAACGCCGGGCAUAAAAACCGAACAACUGUUAACAAUGGAUAUCUUGGUUCUC
rnacentral:misc_RNA from 1 species